rnacentral:rRNA from 1 species
AGAGUUUGAUCCUGGCUCAGAGCGAACGCUGGCGGCAGGCCUAACACAUGCAAGUCGAACGGGCCCCUUCGGGGGUCAGUGGCAGACGGGUGAGUAACGCGUGGGAACGUGCCCAUCGGUUCGGGAUAACCCAGGGAAACUUGGGCUAAUACCGGAUACGCCCUUUUGGGGAAAGAUUCAUUGCCGAUGGAUCGGCCCGCGUCUGAUUAGCUAGUUGGCGAGGUAACGGCUCACCAAGGCGACGAUCAGUAGCUGGUCUGAGAGGAUGAUCAGCCACACUGGGACUGAGACACGGCCCAGACUCCUACGGGAGGCAGCAGUGGGGAAUAUUGGACAAUGGGCGCAAGCCUGAUCCAGCCAUGCCGCGUGAGUGAUGAAGGCCUUAGGGUUGUAAAGCUCUUUCACCCACGACGAUAAUGACGGUAGUGGGAGAAGAAGCCCCGGCUAACUUCGUGCCAGCAGCCGCGGUAAUACGAAGGGGGCUAGCGUUGCUCGGAAUCACUGGGCGUAAAGGGCGCGUAGGCGGCCGAUCAAGUCAGGGGUGAAAGCCUGUGGCUCAACCACAGAAUUGCCUUUGAUACUGUUCGGCUCGAGACCGGAAGAGGUUGGUGGAACUGCGAGUGUAGAGGUGAAAUUCGUAGAUAUUCGCAAGAACACCAGUGGCGAAGGCGGCCAACUGGUCCGGUUCUGACGCUGAGGCGCGAAAGCGUGGGGAGCAAACAGGAUUAGAUACCCUAGUAGUCC